GUGGGCUCUGAGGAAUGGGGAUGCCCCCCUGCAAUAGCUGAAGUCCCCAAAGGCCAUUCUGAUUGACCAUAUAUGAAGAGCUCUUCUCUCCUGAAAUCACCGUCUUUGUGUAUUUUUUGCUUAAUUAUUGGAAAGUUUCCCCCCAUAUGACCUGCAGCCCCUUGAGACUGUGACCAUGUCUGCCUAGUCAAGGCUGUUGGGCCCCCAGACUAGAAGGAACUAACCCACAAGGAGGGGCCCAGUGACAGUUUAUUGAAUAAAUGAAAGAAUAGAGUGAGUCUGAGGCAUCUGUGGGGGCCAUGUGGACUUCUGACCUGCUCCCAUAGGACCUUUGGGUCUAGUUACCCUGGCUCCCUCACUAGAGGAGGGGCCUCAGCACCUUGGUGAGGAGGGAUUUCCCUGAGUACUGCCCUCCAGCUGGGAUGGGUGGGCAGCAAGCACACUAGUCAUCACCGAAGAAUGUUAGCUGUGGGGUCAGCCACUUCCUUCCCUCCCCAGGGCUUAGAGCUCAGGCCAGUGAUGUUUGUGGGUUGGGCCUGAAUCUGAGCCAGGAAGGCUGGGAGUCUGAGACCAAGAGGCAGAGUCUUGUAGGCUCCCUCACCUCUAGCCCACAGCAGUACCUGGGGUCAAGGUGGGCAGUGUCCCCUGCAAGCCUGAGUUUCCUAAAUUCUUGCCACUGAGCCUUACGUCUAUAGUAAGAACCUGCCUCCUGGUGGCCCUGGGACCAUGGCUCUUAAAAAGACAUAAGUCAAACUGAGUAGAGCUUCCUCCAUUCGGAAGAGCUGGGGAUGGGGCAACUCCCCCACUCCCCAUCCCCCCAUGAAGCAGGCCCCCCUCUCAGGUAGCAGUGCUGGCCAUUCUGGAGGAAGCCAGCUAACUAGGGGAGGGACAGGAAGACAGGCCCCAUGGCAUCCUUGUACAGGGCAGCAUUGGCUUUCUCCACACCAAGCUGAGGAUCAGGGUGGCUGGUCUGGGAGAAGGCCAGGGAAACUCCAAAUGCUGCAAGAGCAGAGUUUGUGCUAUGAGCACAGCCCCUAGUGACCCUGGUGACUCAGCCUGGGAAUCCCGACUCCAGGGGCUACCCUGGAAAUGAGGCUCAGAACAGUGAGGGGUACCAUUGAAGGGCCCAGUAACCAUGGCAGCAGUUUCAUGAGGCCUCAGACCAAUUAGUUUAUUGUCCCUUCCUUGUCCUAUGGCCCAGAGCUGGACCCAUUGAGGUUAAUCCUCUUUUCAGUCCAAACAGUAUAUUUUGGUUAGGUAGCUCAAUUCUCAUCCUAGCCC
rnacentral:lncRNA from 1 species